AGGACGAACGCUGGCGGCGUGCCUAACACAUGCAAGUCGAACGGGGUCCAUCCGGUGGCAACACCGGAGAAGACCCAGUGGCGAACGGGUGCGGAACACGUGAGCAACCUGCCCCGAAGAUCGGGAUAACGGCGGGAAACUGCCGCUAAUACCGAAUGCCCCCACGAGCCCGCAUGGUCUGGCGGGGAAAAGGAUUCCGCUUCGGGAGGGGCUCGUGGCCUAUCAGCUAGUUGGUGGGGUAACGGCCUACCAAGGCUUCGACGGGUAGCUGGUCUGAGAGGACGAUCAGCCACACUGGGACUGAGACACGGCCCAGACUCCUACGGGAGGCAGC
rnacentral:rRNA from 1 species